CCAGGAAGGAGGCUGGCAGAGCUCCCUGCAGCAGACCCUCCUUGCAGCAGACCAGACCAUCCAGCACAGCCUUUGCAAGUUAUUUAGAAUUUACCUUUCGGUGCCAUUCCCAGUGCAGAGGAUAUGGACAGAAAGCGAUGCAGAUCUGGACAGUGGUUGCAAGAAUACUCAUUAGUACUUGUUGAGGAUCUAAAGAAGAGGAAUAAUACAGCAGUGAGACCUUUGGGAUUUGCAAACUGAGUUGUAUUUUGUAGUUCUGAUAAGCAAGAUGAAGAUGAUUCACAAGAGGACCUCUGGAAGGCUGAUAACAGAAUUAGAAGGCAGAGGCUUAUUUAGCCACUGUGAGGUCUCAGAGGCAAGCCAGACAGAGGCAAGAAGCAGUUUUCCCUGGUGUCAUUGCCUAUGGUUACCUUUCAGGCACUGCUGCUCAGUCCUAUAUCAAAACCUAUCUUUGCCUCACAAUGCAAUCUACAGGGGAGCUGCCUGGGGCAGAAUCAAUCCUUGCCCCAGUUCCUGCCAAUUGCGGGGUGGGAGUGGGAGGUGGAGCAGGAGGGCCAUUUGGCUUGGGCCCCAAGCUUAAAGCGGGCCUCAGAUUUAGACACAUGUUCAUUUUUCUAGUAUUUGAUAAGUUCCUCAACUUGUUUUUAUGUGCAUCCCUAUUGGACCUCAAUGUGACAUACAAUGUCAGCCUAGAUGAAUAUAUAUUCCAUGAGCUUUAAAUUGGAUAGCAAGCCAAAGGAAUUGCUUCAAGGAAUAUUCAUACUUGGACUGUCUGGGGUGUUCCUUAAUAUCACAAUUGCAUUGUAUAUUUUUGUCAGUUUGCCUACAUCUUUGGCUUCUGGUGAACACACCUUCAACAUGCUGAAGCAGGGAAAGAACUAUCACUAUUCAGCUGUGAGACAAGAAGCUUUGAAUGGACUUACCAUGCUUAAAUCAAUUGUGACAUUGCACAAAAGCUAGA